CGGUCCUCAUCCGCGAGGGUGGGGAAUCAACCGCUAGGAUCGUUUACUUUGAGGAAAUUAGAGUGUUCAAAGCAGGCGUAACUCGCCUCCGAAUACGUUAGCAUGGGAUAAUGGAAUACGACUUCGGUCUUGUUUCGUUGGUUUCGCUUGGCUGAAGUAAUGAUUGAUAGGGACAGUUGGGGGCAUUAGUAUUUAGUUGUCAGAGGUGAAAUUCUAGGAUUUACUAAAGACUGACCAAUGCGAAAGCAUUUGCCAAGGAUGUUUUCAUUAAUCAAGAACGAAAGUAGGGGGAUCGAAGACGAUCAGAUACCGUCGUAGUCUCUACCGUAAACUAUGCCGACCAGGGAUCCGGAGAGUUUGCAUGGAUGACUCCCCGGGCACCUUGUGAGAAAUCAUAAGUGUUU
rnacentral:rRNA from 1 species